rnacentral:rRNA from 1 species
ACAAGCGGAGGAGCAUGUGGUUUAAUCGAUGAUACGCGAGGAACCUACCUCGGCUCGAACGUAAGAUGACUGUAGGUGAAAGCUUACAUCUCUUCGGAGCAUUUUACGAGGUGCUGCAUGGUUGUCGUCAGCUCGUGCCGUGAGGUGUCGGGUUAAGUCCCAUAACGAGCGCAACCCUACCUUUAGUUGCCAUCAGGUAAUGCUGGGGACUCUAAAGGAACUGCCUACGCAAGUAGUGAGGAAGGCGGGGAUGACGUCAAAUCAGCACGGCCCUUACGUCCAGGGCUACACACGUGCUACAAUGGCCGAUACAGAGGGCAGCUACCUGGUGACAGGAUGCAAAUCUCCAAAGUCGGUCUCAGUUCGGAUCGGAGUCUGCAACCCGACUCCGUGAAGUUGGAUUCGCUAGUAAUCGCGCAUCAGCCAUGGCGCGGUGAAUACGUUCCCGGGCCUU